rnacentral:rRNA from 1 species
UACGUAGGGUGCGAGCGUUAAUCGGAAUUACUGGGCGUAAAGCGUGCGUAGGCGGUUCGUUAUGUCUGCUGUGAAAGCCCCGGGCUUAACCUGGGAAUGGCAGUGGAAACUGGCGGGCUUGAGUGUGGCAGAGGGGGGUGGAAUUCCGCGUGUAGCAGUGAAAUGCGUAGAGAUGCGGAGGAACACCGAUGGCGAAGGCAGCCCCCUGGGCUGACACUGACGCUGAGGCACGAAAGCGUAGGGAGCAAACAGG